rnacentral:tRNA from 1 species
GGGCUUGUGGUUUAGUGGUAUAAUACUCCCUUAGCAUUGAACAAUGGGAGUGGUCCGGGGUUCGAUUCCCCGGAAGUCCA